CAAUAGCGUAUAUUUAAGUUGUUGCAGUUAAAAAGCUCGUAGUUGGAUUUCGGAUGGGAUCUGCCGGUCCGUCUUUGAGAUGUGUACUGGUAGGUCCUAUCUUGUUGUCGGGGACCAGCUCCUGGGCUUCACUGUCCGGGACUGGGAGCCGACGAAGUUACUUUGAGUAAAUUAGAGUGUUCAAAGCAAGCCUUCGCUCUGAAUAUAAUAGCAUGGGAUAACACGACAGGACUCUGGCCUAUCGUGUUGGUCUGUAGGACCGGAGUAAUGAUUAAGAGGAACAGUCGGGGGCAUUCGUAUUCCAUUGUCAGAGGUGAAAUUCUUAGAUUUAUGGAAGACGAACAUCUGCGAAAGCAUUUGCCAAGGAUGUUUUCAUUGA
rnacentral:rRNA from 1 species